rnacentral:rRNA from 1 species
GACGAACGCUGGCGGCGUGCCUAAUACAUGCAAGUCGAGCGGAAUGAGGAGAGCUUGCUCUCUGAAUUUAGCGGCGGACGGGUGAGUAACACGUGGGCAACCUGCCUGUAAGACUGGGAUAACCUCGGGAAACCGAAGCUAAUACCGGAUACGACUUCCUUUCGCAUGAGGGGGAGCGGAAAGACUGAGAGUCGCUUACAGACGGGCCCGCGGCGCAUUAGCUAGUGGGUGGGGUAACGGCCUACCAAGGCGACGAUGCGUAGCCGACCUGGGAGGGGGAUGGGCCAAACUGGGACUGAGACACGGCCCAGACUCCUACGGGAGGCAGCAGUAGGGAAUCUUCGGCAAUGGACGGAAGUCUGACCGAGCAACGCCGCGUGAGCGAAGAAGGCCUUCGGGUUGUAAAGCUCUGUCAUGAGGGAAGAACGGCUCGGGUGGCCCCGAGUGUGACGGUACCUCAGGAGGAAGCCCCGGCUAACUACGUGCCAGCAGCCGCCGUAAAAC